rnacentral:rRNA from 1 species
UCGAGGGGCAGCGGUGGUGAAGGCUUGCCUUUACCAGCCGGCGACCGGCGCACGGGUGAGUAACACGUAUGCAACCUGCCUGCCACAGCCGGAUAAUCGGGAGAAAUUCCGUCUAAUACGGCAUAAUGCACCUAUGGGACAUCCUGUUGGUGCCAAAGGUUGAUUCCGGUGGCGGAUGGGCAUGCGUCGCAUUAGUUAGUUGGCGGUGUAACGGACCACCAAGACGACGAUGCGUAGGGGUUCUGAGAGGAAGGUCCCCCACACUGGUACUGAGACACGGACCAGACUCCUACGGGAGGCAGCAGUGAGGAAUAUUGGUCAAUGGGCGGGAGCCUGAACCAGCCAAGUCGCGUGAGGGAUGACGGCCCUAUGGGUUGUAAACCUCUUUUGCCGGGGAGCAAAGUGCCGCACGUGUGCGGUUUGGAGAGUACCCGGAAAAAAAGCAUCGGCUAACUCCGUGCCAGCAGCCGCGGUAAUACGGAGGAUGCGAGCGUUAUCCGCGAUUUAUUGGGGUUUAAAGCCUCCCCACCCCCACCCUUAAGUCCCCCACGAAAUCGCCGGGCUCAACCUCGUCGAGCCCCCCCCCCCGGGUGCCUUGAGUGGGCGAGAACCCCCCCCCCCCCCUGGUGUAGCGGUGAAAUGCAU